rnacentral:rRNA from 1 species
CAGCAGCCGCGGUAAUACGUAGGAUGCGAGCGUUGUCCGGAAUUAUUGGGCGUAAAGCGUACGUAGGCGGUUCGUUAAGUCAGGGGUUAAAGACCGAGGCUCAACCUCGGGAGUGCCCUUGAUACUGGCGGACUGGAGGACGGAAGAGGAAAGUGGAAUUCCCAGUGUAGCGGUGAAAUGCGUAGAUAUUGGGAGGAACACCAGUGGCGAAAGCGACUUUCUGGUCCGUUUCUGACGCUGAGGUACGAAAGCGUGGGGAGCAAA